UAGGGAAUCUUCCGCAAUGGACGAAAGUCUGACGGAGCAACGCCGCGUGAGUGAAGAAGGAUUUCGGUUCGUAAAACUCUGUUGUUAGGGAAGAAAAAAUGUAUAGUAACUAUAUACAAAAGAGACGGUACCUAACCAGAAAGCCACGGCUAACUACGUGCCAGCAGCCGCGGUAAUACGUAGGUGGCAAGCGUUGUCCGGAAUUAGUGGGCGUAAAGCGCGCGCAGGUGGUUUAGAAAGUCUGAUGUGAAAGCCCACGGCUCAACCGUGGAGGGUCAUUGGAAACUAAUAAACUUGAGUGCAGGAGAGAAAAGUGGAAUUCCUAGUGUAGCGGUGAAAUGCGUAGAGAUUAGGAGGAACACCGGUGGCGAAAGCGGCUUUUUGGCCUGCAACUGACACUGAGGCGCGAAAGCGUGGGGAGCAAACAGG
rnacentral:rRNA from 1 species